UUAAACGGCCGCGGUAUUCUAACCGUGCAAAGGUAGCGUAAUCACUUGUCUCCUAAAUAGAGACCAGUAUGAACGGCUAAAUGAAGACAAGCCUGUCUCCUACACCCUAUCAGUGAAACUGAUCUCCCAGUCCAAAAGCUAGGAUAACAACAUAAGACGAGAAGACCCUGUGGAGCUUAAAAUACACUACUAACAAAGCCAAAUAACAGCAUAACUAGUAUAAAUUUUGAGUUGGGGCGACUUCGGAAUAAAACAAAACUUCCAAGCACAGAAUCACCACUUCUAACCAAGGCCAACAAGCCAAAGCAAAACCUGACCCAGUAAUACUGAUCAACGAACCAAGUUACCCCAGGGAUAACAGCGCUAUCUUCUUCAAGAGUCCAUAUCGACAAGAAGGUUUACGACCUCGAUGUUGGAUCAGGACACCCAAAUGGUGCAGCCGCUAUUAAAGGUUCGUUUGUUCAACGAUUAACAGUC
rnacentral:rRNA from 1 species